AAGACAUAUUGAGUGGUUCUAGUCGUAGACCCACUUUGAUUUUUGGCAAUCCAUGCAUGCGUCGAAAUAUUCGAAUUCCUCGGUCUACGAGGGAGCCCAAGCUCAGCUGGAAUCAGGUAGCCACGGGCGCGCGGUAUGUUGUGGGGCGUGACCUCUGCUCAGUUUCGAAGGUGAGGUCUCACAACAAAACGCUAGCUGCUGGCUACGCUGACUCCAGUUUAGGUCCCUUGUAGACCGAGAAAUUCGAAUAUUUCGACCCAUGCAUGGAUCGCGACGAAUCAAAGUGGGUCUACGACUAAAACC
rnacentral:misc_RNA from 1 species